ACUACCUCAGCUCCUAUCUCUCUUACCUCACCCUCUUCCAUGAACGCUUCCUCUCCCCCUAUAACAACUCUUACUCUCUCUUUAACAUUAGCAACGCCUCUCAUUGACCCUUUUCAUCAAACAGGUUCUAUUAUUUAUUUGGUUUUUCGUAUCUGGCAAUCUCAAUUGUGCUUUUGUAAUAUGUUUUGGUUGAUUUGCGGAUAGAUAUCCAGUCCUCUAAAUUAUUGCUUAUGUGGGUCUUUUUGUUUUUGUGUAAAGUUUAUAUUUUCAUGUUGCUCAUUGUGAUUUUCUAAUAUGUUUUGUUUUAUUUUCAGACAGAUAUUUAGUCCUUGCGUAUGUGGGUUUUUUUUUUUUUUUUUUUUCAAUUAUGUUUUUGGGUAAAUCUUGAAUUUUUAUAUUAGCUGAUUGUUUAGUAAUUGGAAUGUUAAUGGUUACUGUGUGUCUGGUAUUUGUGCUUUGUAAGGUACCCAUCUUGUUAUGUAUUCUGUGGGUAUAAGAAUUUUGCAUUGUUAGUGUAGUGUCGGUUUUUUUUUUUUUUUGAAAUUAUGAUGGGACUUGCACGUCUGCCCCUUCAGCAGUGUGUGUGAUUGCUCUAGGGAUGAACAAGUCCCCUCAUAUCAAUCCAUCUGAUUCACUUUGUCAGCUGUCUUAUUCGUUGUCUAGCUGAUCAUUUUAGGGUGGUACAUGCUAUCCAAAUCUUAUUUCUAUUAUAUUCUAUGCGUUUAAUGAUCCAUAUAUACUUGAACACUCAUGCAUAUUGAAGUUACAAAUGUUGAUGAUGACAACUCCUAAGGCUUGUUUCUCAGAACAUUCGCAGUGGCCGCCUAAGAGCUUUCGCCUUCGCCAGGUUUGAGAGCUAGUGCUGCUUAUUCCUUCCUUGGAUGUCUGAAACUUAUUACCUCUUUCACCUAGAUGUAAUUUUUUGUUUGUAUACACUUCUGAAAGCUUUUGCCUUCUCUGGAAUUAUGUUAUCAAAUUGUUAGUUUUCAUUAUCAUGAAUUUUAGAUCUGGCAGGACUAUAUUUGAUUUAAAUAUUCAAUAGUUAUGGAAUUUGUAAUGUAUUUACCAAAUACCAAUGAUGAUAAAUCCAAAGGCUUGUUUCUCAAAACAUUCGCAGUGGCCGUCUAAGAGCUUUCGCCUUCGCCAGGCUUGAGAGCUAGUGCUGUUUUAUCCUUCCUUGGAUGUCUGAGGUGUUCACCCCAUGAUACUAUAUGAUAUUGAUUUUAUUGGUGUACAAUUUCUCUAGAUAUUUUGCAUUCUUCCCAUUAUGCAUCUAAUAAAUUUGUCUUCUGUAGGGUUUUCUAAUGUUUGAUAGCGGAUAUUGUAAGUCUUUAUUAUAAUGGUAAUAGUUCAUUCUAAUAGUAAUCUGUGGCAUAGGGUAUUUGCUAUAUUGUUGUUGAUGAUGAAAAAUACAAAGGCUUGUUUCUCAAACAUUUGCAGUGGCUGCAUAAGAGCUUUUGCCUUUGCCAGGCUUGAGAGCUAAUGCUGCUCUAUCCUUCCUUGGAUGUCUGGAAGUUGUUACUUCGACAUACAGAAAUAGCUGGCAUGGCUGCCUCAGUGCUCUGCCUUCCUUGGUUGCAAUUGCUAUUGCUGCUUUAGUCUCUCCUUGAAUGCUGGAGGUGUUCAUCCCUAUAUAAUAUAUAAGUUUAAACUCCUCUAAAUUGUUUUAUUUCUUCACAUUUUGUUACAAAUAAAUUUGCGAUUCAAAGAAUUUUCUAAUGUUUGGUAUUGAGCACAUUAAUUUCUUACUCUAAGAUCGGAUGUUGAUGCAUUUACAAUAUUAUUGUUGAUGAUGACAAAUCCAAAGGCUUGUUUCUCAAAACAUUCGCAGUGGCCGCCUAAGAGCUUUCGCCUUUGCCGGGCUUGAGAGCUUGUGCUGUUCAAUCCUUCCUUGGAUGUCUGAAACACAUUUCUCUUUUAUAAACUACAUUGAUGUUAUGUAUUUUGUCAGACUAAUCAUUCAAUUAUUGUACAUAUUGUUUUGUUUCAUUUAGUAGAAAUCCUAUUUGUUGGCUUUGUAAAUAAAACAAGUUCUGCAGCCAUUCUUUCUGCUCUCUUUUUUCCAUGUACAGUAUUUGGUGUGGAGAUGGCUAGGAAAUUAGGAGAGGCUAAGUGUUGCCCUGCUGCUGCUUGGAAAUUUUAUUGAACCAAUUGUUGGACUACUAACACUGUAACUUUGUUGUUGGCUGUGGCAACUUGAGGCACUCUGUUGGAGGGUCAAAGAGUUGUAGAUUGCAUUUGCUUGUAGAAUCAAUGGGUAUCGAUUCUGUUGUAGGUGUGUCA